UCUAGGACUUACUUCUAACGAAAAAAAUGAUUUUGAUGAAUAUCAUAAUCAGGGAACACAAAGCAUUAAGGUUGCAGAAGGAAAACCCGACCUUUUGAAUUGGUGGAGGAAUCGCGGCAAGGCAAUUCCAAAGCUUCAACAGAUUCAAGUGAAGACGGAAUAGAUGCGUUGGAAGAACACGCUAUACCACCACUUUCGGAAAAAGCAACUGGAGAAAUGUUAGAAGAAUUAAGACGAGACUAGUUUGGAGAGUACGAAUAUUAUAUAAUUCUAGGCCUAAUUAAAACUGAACCCUUCUUAGAAGGUGGUUGCGUAGAUUAGGCACUCUUCAAAUAUUUAUAAAUUGUAAUAUAAAUUGUACUAUUUACUUUUUUUAUAAAUAAAAUGAUAGGCUAUUCGCUUUAU